AUUGAACGCUGGCGGCAGGCUUAACACAUGCAAGUCGAGCGGGGAAAGGUAGCUUGCUACCUGACCUAGCGGCGGACGGGUGAGUAAUGCUUAGGAAUCUGCCUAUUAGUGGGGGACAACAUUCCGAAAGGAAUGCUAAUACCGCAUACGCCCUACGGGGGAAAGCAGGGGAUCUUCGGACCUUGCGCUAAUAGAUGAGCCUAAGUCAGAUUAGCUAGUUGGUGGGGUAAAGGCCUACCAAGGCGACGAUCUGUAGCGGGUCUGAGAGGAUGAUCCGCAACGCUGGGACUGAGACACGGCCCAGACUCCUACGGGAGGCAGCAGUGGGGAAUAUUGGACAAUGGGCGAAAGCCUGAUCCAGCCAUGCCGCGUGUGUGAAGAAGGCCUUUUGGUUGUAAAGCACUUUAAGCGAGGAGGAGGCUACUUGGAUUAAUACUCUAGGAUAGUGGACGUUACUCGCAGAAUAAGCACCGGCUAACUCUGUGCCAGCCGCCGCCGUAACAC
rnacentral:rRNA from 1 species